AGGGUGUAAACGCUGCAGACUUGGUGUUGGAAGCCCUUUGGGGGCAUUCAGUGCCGGAGAGAAGUUGUUAAGUCUGCUACUUGGGGAGUACGUCCGCAAGGAUGAAGCUUAAAGGAAUUGGCGGGGGAGCACCGCAACGGGAGGAGCGUGCGGUUUAAUUGGAUUCAACACCGUAAAACUCACCAGGGAAGACUGUUACAUGAAGGCCGAGAUGAAGACUCUGCUAGAUUUUCAGAGAGGUGGUGCAUGGCGUCAGUGACU
rnacentral:rRNA from 1 species